rnacentral:rRNA from 1 species
AACGAACGCUGGCGGCAUGCCUAACACAUGCAAGUCGAACGGGUACCUUCGGGUGCUAGUGGCGCACGGGUGCGUAACGCGUGGGAAUCUGCCCUUGGGUUCGGAAUAACUCAGCGAAAGCUAUGCUAAUACCGGAUGAUGUCGAAAGACCAAAGAUUUAUCGCCCGAGGAUGAGCCCGCGUUGGAUUAGCUAGUUGGUGGGGUAAAGGCCUACCAAGGCGACGAUCCAUAGCUGGUCUGAGAGGAUGAUCAGCCACACUGGGACUGAGACACGGCCCAGACUCCUACGGGAGGCAGCAGUGGGGAAUAUUGGACAAUGGGCGAAAGCCUGAUCCAGCAAUGCCGCGUGAGUGAUGAAGGCCUUAGGGUUGUAAAGCUCUUUUACCCGGGAUGAUAAUGACAGUACCGGGAGAAUAAGCUCCGGCUAACUCCGUG